rnacentral:piRNA from 2 species
UACGAAUGAUCGCACCACCACCUC